CGGUAGGGCGGGACCGGGGGGGGAGUAAUGUCUGGGAAACGUCUCGAUGGAGGGGGAUAACUACUGGAAACGGUAGCUAAUACCGCAUAACGUCGCAAGACCAAAGAGGGGGACCUUCGGGCCUCUUGCCAUCGGAUGUGCCCAGAUGGGAUUAGCUAGUAGGUGGGGUAACGGCUCACCUAGGCGACGAUCCCUAGCUGGUCUGAGAGGAUGACCAGCCACACUGGAACUGAGACACGGUCCAG
rnacentral:rRNA from 1 species